GCUUAGCCCCGAUUGUAGUGGAAAUCCUUUUUAUUUUUUUCUUAAAAAACAAAAAGAUUGUAACGGAAAGCGGGAAAUAGC
rnacentral:sRNA from 1 species